UUCGCAGUGACAGGCCUGAGGUUAUCUCUUGGGUAACCUGCCUGUAAGACUGGGAUAACUCCGGGAAACCGGGGCUAAUACCGGAUAAUCCUUUCCCCCUCAUGGGGGAAAGCUGAAAGACGGUUUCGGCUGUCACUUACAGAUGGGCCCGCGGCGCAUUAGCUAGUUGGUGAGGUAACGGCUCACCAAGGCGACGAUGCGUAGCCGACCUGAGAGGGUGAUCGGCCACACUGGGACUGAGACACGGCCCAGACUCCUACGGGAGGCAGCAGUAGGGAAUCUUCCGCAAUGGACGAAAGUCUGACGGAGCAACGCCGCGUGAGCGAUGAAGGCCUUCGGGUCGUAAAGCUCUGUUGUCAGGGAAGAACAAGUGCCGGAGUCACUGCCGGCACCUUGACGGUACCUGACCAGAAAGCCACGGCUAACUACGUGCCAGCCGGCCGCGGUAU
rnacentral:rRNA from 1 species